GGAAAGAUGGCUGAGCGGUUGAAAGCCCUGGUCUUGAAAACCGGUAUAGUUUUAUAACUAUCGAGGGUUCAAAUCCCUCUCUUUCCA
rnacentral:tRNA from 1 species